CUGAACUUAAGCAUAUCAAUAAGCGGAGGAAAAGAAACCAACAGGAUUGCCCCAGUAACGGCGAGUGAAGCGGCAACAGCUCAAAUUUGAAAUCUGGCCCCCGGUCCGAGUUGUGGUUUGUAGAGGAUGCUUUUGGCGAGGUGCCUUCCGAGUUCCCUGGAACGGGACGCCAUAGAGGGUGAGAGCCCCGUCUGGUCGGACACCGAGCCUCUGUAAAGCUCCUUCGACGGUCGGUAGUUUGGGAAUGCUGCUCAAAAUGGGAGGUAUAUGUCUUCUAAAGCUAAAUAUUGGCCAGAGACCGAUAGCGCACAGUAGAGUGAUCGAAAGAUGAAAAGCACUUUGAAAAGAGGGUUAAAAAGUACGUGAAAUUGUUGAAAGGGAAGCGCCUAUGACCAGACUUGGGCCCGGUGAAUCACCACGCGUUCUCGCUGGUGCACUUCGCCGGCACAGGCCAGCAUCAGUUUGGCGCGGGGGAGAAAGGCUUCGGGAAUGUGGCUCCCCCGGGAGUGUUAUAGCCCGUUGCGCAAUACCCUGCGCUGGACUGAGGUACGCGCAUUCCGAAGGAUGCUGGCGUAAUGGUCAUCAGCGACCCGUCUUGAAACACGGACCAAGGAGUCGUCUUCGUAUGCGAGUGUUCGGGUGUCAAACCCUACGCGUAAUGAAAGUGAACGCAGGUGAGAGCUUCGGCGCAUCAUCGACCGAUCCUGAUGUUCUCGGAUGGAUUUGAGUAAGAGCAUACGGGCCGGACCGAAAGAAGGUGAACUAUGCCUGUAUAGGUGCAUCGACCGAUCCUGAUGUUCUCGGAUGGAUUUGAGUAAGAGCAUACGGGGCCGGACCCGAAAGAAGGUGAACUAUGCCUGUAUAGGGUGAAGCCAGAGGAAACUCUGGUGGAGGCUCGCAGCGGUUCUGACGUGCGAAUCGAUCGUCAAAUAUGGGCAUGGGGGCGAAAGACUAAUCGAACCUUCUAGUAGCUGGUUUCCGCCGAAGUUUCCUCAGGAUAGCAGUGUUGAACUCAGUUUUAUGAGGUAAAGCGAAUGAUUAGGGACUCGGGGGCGCUAUAUUGCCUUCAUCCAUUCUCAAACUUUAAAUAUGUAAGAAGCCCUUGUUACUUGAUUGAACGUGGGCAUUCGAAUGUAUCAACACUAGUGGGCCAUUUUUGGUAAGCAGAACUGGCGAUGCGGGAUGAACCGAACGCGAGGUUAAGGUGCCGGAGUGGACGCUCAUCAGACACCACAAAAGGUGUUAGUACAUCUUGACAGCAGGACGGUGGCCAUGGAAGUCGGAAUCCGCUAAGGACUGUGUAACAACUCACCUGCCGAAUGUACUAGCCCUGAAAAUGGAUGGCGCUCAAGCGUCCCACCCAUACCUCGCCCUCAGGGUAGAAACGAAGCCCUGAGGNGUAGGCGGACGUG
rnacentral:rRNA from 1 species